rnacentral:rRNA from 1 species
GGCCUGCGGAAGGAUCAUUACUGUGAUUUAGUACUACACUGCGUGAGCGGAACGAAAACAACAACACCUAAAAUGUGGAAUAUAGCAUAUAGUCGACAAGAGAAAUCUACGAAAAACAAACAAAACUUUCAACAACGGAUCUCUUGGUUCUCGCAUCGAUGAAGAGCGCAGCGAAAUGCGAUACCUAGUGUGAAUUGCAGCCAUCGUGAAUCAUCGAGUUCUUGAACGCACAUUGCGCCCCUCGGCAUUCCGGGGGGCAUGCCUGUUUGAGCGUCGUUUCCAUCUUGCGCGUGCGCAGAGUUGGGGGAGCGGAGCGGACGACGUGUAAAGAGCGUCGGAGCUGCGACUCGCCUGAAAGGGAGCGAAGCUGGCCGAGCGAACUAGACUUUUUUUCAGGGACGCUUGGCGGCCGAGAGCGAGUGUUGCGAGACAACAAAAAGCUCGACCUCAAAUCAGGUAGGAAUACCCGCUGAACUUAAGCAUAUCAAUAAGCCGGAGGAAAAAGGAUCAUUACUGGUGAUUUAGUACUACCUGCGUGAGCGGAACGAAGACAACAACACCUAAUAUGUGGGAAUAUAGCAGAUAGUCGACAGAAGAAAUCUACGAAAAACAAACAAAACUUUCAACAACGGAAU